GAUGAACGCUGGCGGCGUGCCUAAUACAUGCAAGUCGAGCGAACGGACGAGAAGCUUGCUUCUCUGAUGUUAGCGGCGGACGGGUGAGUAACACGUGGAUAACCUACCUAUAAGACUGGGAUAACUUCGGGAAACCGGAGCUAAUACCGGAUGAUAUUUUGAACCGCAUGGUUCAAAAGUGAAAGACGGUCUUGCUGUCACUUAUAGAUGGAUCCGCGCUGCGUUAGCUAGUUGGUAAGGUAACGGCUUACCAAGGGAACGAUGCAUAGCCGACCUGGGAGGGUGAUCGGCCACACUGGAACGGAGACACGGUCCAGACUCCUACGGGAGGCAGCAGUAGGGAAUCUUCCGCAAUGGGCGAAAGCCUGACGGAGCAACGCCGCGUGAGUGAUGAAGGUCUUCGGAUCGUAAAACUCUGUUAUUAGGGAAGAACAUAUGUGUAAGUAACUGUGCACAUCUUGACGGUACCUAAUCAGAAAGCCACGGCUAACUACGUG
rnacentral:rRNA from 1 species